AGAGUUUGAUCAUGGCUCAGAGCGAACGCUGGCGGCAGGCCUAACACAUGCAAGUCGAACGGGCCCUUCGGGGUCAGUGGCAGACGGGUGAGUAACGCGUGGGAACGUGCCCAUCGGUUCGGAAUAACCCCAGGGAAACUUGGGCUAAUACCGGAUACGUCCUUUUUGGAGAAAGAUUUAUCGCCGAUGGAUCGGCCCGCGUCUGAUUAGCUAGUUGGUGGGGUAAUGGCCCACCAAGGCGACGAUCAGUAGCUGGUCUGAGAGGAUGAUCAGCCACACUGGGACUGAGACACGGCCCAGACUCCUACGGGAGGCAGCAGUGGGGAAUAUUGGACAAUGGGCGCAAGCCUGAUCCAGCCAUGCCGCGUGAGUGAUGAAGGCCCUAGGGUUGUAAAGCUCUUUCACCCACGACGAUAAUGACGGUAGUGGGAGAAGAAGCCCCGGCUAACUUCGUGCCAGCAGCCGCGGUAAUACGAAGGGGGCUAGCGUUGCUCGGAAUCACUGGGCGUAAAGGGCGCGUAGGCGGACCUUUAAGUCAGGGGUGAAAGCCUGUGGCUCAACCACAGAAUUGCCUUUGAUACUGAGGGUCUCGAGACCGGAAGAGGUUGGUGGAACUGCGAGUGUAGAGGUGAAAUUCGUAGAUAUUCGCAAGAACACCAGUGGCGAAGGCGGCCAACUGGUCCGGUUCUGACGCUGAGGCGCGAAAGCGUGGGGAGCAAACAGGAUUAGAUACCCUAGUAGUCC
rnacentral:rRNA from 1 species